rnacentral:lncRNA from 1 species
UUUUUCCCAUUUUUAUAUUUUUUCCUCAAAAUUUCUCACUCUCUAACACUCAUAGCCCAACCCUUUUACUAAGCUUUCACCACAAAUAUUUUCAUCCCAAACCCCUUACUUCACAUUCAAGCUCAACACCAUUUCUACUUAGAUUUUUUCACAUUUUUUGAGUAAUGAUUUUAACUUAAACUUUUUAACUUUUGGGUUCUGUUUUUUUGAUUAAAAAUGGUUGCUUAUUCUUGGUUGGUCUUUUGAGAUGAUUUAGAUUCAAGUUUGAAAAAAUGAUUAACUUUGGUUUACUCAUUUUUUUAAUAGAUUUUU